AACGAACGCUGGCGGCAUGCCUAACACAUGCAAGUCGAACGCGUGUAGCAAUACACGAGUGGCGGACGGGUGAGUAACGCGUGGGAACCUGCCCAAUGGUAGGGAAUAACUGCGGGAAACUGCAGCUAAUACCCUAUGCUCCCUACGGGGGAAANAUUUAUCGCCAUUGGAGGGGCCCGCGUCGGAUUAGCUAGUUGGCGGGGUAACGCCCACCAAGGCUACGAUCCGUAGCUGGUCGAGAGGAUGAUCGGCCACACUGGGACUGAGACACGGCCCAGACUCCUACGGGAGGCAGCAGUGGGGAAUAUUGGACAAUGGGCGCAAGCCUGAUCCAGCGAUGCCGCGUGUGUGAAGAAGGCCUGCGGGUUGUAAAGCACUUUCAGUA
rnacentral:rRNA from 1 species